CUUCGGCGCGCCUUGGUUCUGUCACCAGCCCCACUGGGGCCUCACAAUCGCUCAGCCGUCCAGUGCGCGCCUGGAGAAAGAGAAGUGGGCGACUACGGAGCAGCGUCUCCAUUACUGACCGUUUUCUCGCCAUUGUACCCACACAACUUGCUCUAAAUGGGCAAUUUAUUAAGUAUAUUUUGUCCCUGUUCCCGCCGCAGGCCCCUGCCGGACCGUCGCCCACAAGCUCCCAUAGCCCAUACAGAAUUGUGUGUUCUUCAUCUGGGCUUUUGUCCUGCCCAUACCCAGCAGGCACACAGCCCAUAAAGCAGGAAAAGGAACCAAGGUGAAGGAGGCAGAAACUCUGCAGCCAGCAAGGAGGAGGUGCUAUCUCCCUGCAGUACAAAUUCACCAAGAGCCUAGAGAGAUGAAGAGAGAUGCCAGGAAGAAGAGAGACGCCAGGAAACAGAAGCCCACAGCUGGCAGAGCUGGGGCCUAGCUGUGGUCACUCUGGAGCCUGCCCCGUGGUGUUUUUAUGAGUGGUGGAAAGAACAGUGACAAUAUGGAGCCCACAAAGGAAGCUCAAGCAGUAACAUAGCAAGAGGGAAGACAAUUCAAAGGGAAGAGGCCCAUGGUCUUCUUUCUUUUUCUUUGUGAUUUCUACUGUCAGGGAGGCUCCUUAUUUAUAAAGAACAUGACUGUGUUUAUCUCCCAAGUUCUCACCCCCAGAUUAAUGUUUUCAGAAAGACUUGGGCCAUCAACAAUUAGAGGAGAAGUUGUACUGAUGUGUGAGGGAUGCAUUUUGACAAUUUGUGGUCCAGUUAUUUCGUUUAUGUUAAUGAUUCAAUCUCAGAAACCAUUAAAAGUUUCUGGUAUCCCAACUACUCUUACCCGGGGAAAAG
rnacentral:lncRNA from 1 species